UCCAGGGUAGCCUAGUGGACAUGGCACCUGCCCGGUAAGCAGAAGGUUGUGGGUUACGAUUCUCGCCCCUGGAC
rnacentral:tRNA from 1 species